UACUCGAGUGGCGAACGGGUGAGUAACACGUGGGUGAUCUGCCCUGCACUUUGGGAUAAGCCUGGGAAACUGGGUCUAAUACCGAAUACACCUCGCUGGCCGCAUGGUCUGGUGGGGGAAAGCUUUUGCGGUGUGGGAUGGGCCCGCGGCCUAUCAGCUUGUUGGUGGGGUGAUGGCCUACCAAGGCGACGACGGGUAGCCGGCCUGAGAGGGUGACCGGCCACACUGGGACUGAGAUACGGCCCAGACUCCUACGGGAGGCAGCAGUGGGGAAUAUUGCACAAUGGGCGCAAGCCUGAUGCAGCGACGCCGCGUGGGGGAUGACGGCCUUCGGGUUGUAAACCCCUUUCAGCACAGACGAAGCGCGAGUGACGGUAUGUGCAGAAGAAGGACCGGCCAACUACGUGCCAGCAGCCGCGGUAAUACGUAGGGUCCGAGCGUUGUCCGGAAUUACUGGGCGUAAAGAGCUCGUAGGUGGUUUGUCGCGUUGUUCGUGAAAACUCACAGCUCAACUGUGGGCGUGCGGGCGAUACGGGCAGACUAGAGUACUGCAGGGGAGACU
rnacentral:rRNA from 1 species